rnacentral:tRNA from 1 species
GGGCUCGUGGUCUAGUUGGCUAUGACGUCGCCUUCACACGGCGGAGGUCUCGAGUUCGAAUCUCGACGAGCCCA